rnacentral:lncRNA from 1 species
GGGAUGAUGUUACACUCAGGAAUUGAAUGGUACGGUAAGAUUUUGCUUUGCCAAUAUAUGGGGCCAUUAGAUUGGCAAAAAGUGCGGAGUUUUUUCUAUUUUUUAAGAAUAAGGUAGUCCUUUCAUGUCCAAGAAAUACAUCUGAUUGUAUUUGCAAAAACAUUCCCAUUAUGUUGAAGGAUUGACUUUUAGGUUAAUAUCCUGACAGACCUGAGCUGUUGGGUGAACAGCCUAUGCUUGAAGGGUGGUUGAGGCCUUAAGAGGGGCAGCUAAUUAUAACACCUGAUGCAUCGCCCCCUUCAAGCCUAGCUGACUAAAGAAAAUGAGGUUGCCUAACGUCAAGGCUAGUGCCCACAUGCAACCCAGCGAACAACCUAACUAAGGAUGGGUUGCAAAUAGCUUACUGUGGAAGGCAAACCGGAAAGGGAAGGUAGGUUUUUGAAACCCCUCGACCAACUGGCAUUUUGCUUUGAAGCUGGAACGGGCUGGUCUUAUUCAUCCAGGUUGCAGGAUUGGUAGUCAGGCUCGUGCCCUGUCAAAUUUCAGCUAUUGGGCUAACACUCCAUGGAGAUUGAGGAGUGAUUGAGUGUUAAAAGCAUACCUUUGAGGGAGGGGGCUCGAUUGAUAUUGCAAAGCCUGAUGGCCAGGAUCUCGAUCUGGACUUUCACUUUUGCCAUAGAGUGUUAGCCUAGUAGCUAAGGCGUGACAGGUACAAGCCUGACUACCAAUUCUGCAAUGCAAGCUUUAAAACUCGGUGAAUAAGGGAAGCUUCUUGCUGCCUUAGAAAAAAUUCAAGUUGACCAAGUCUUUCAAAAACCAACCAUUCCCAGCCCUGAGUUUUCCACACAGAAUCAUUUGGAACCCAUCCUUAGAUAAAAUAUUGGCUUUGAUACAUGCAAGGACUAAUCUUGACAUUAAGCUUCAUGCAACUUCUUCAGACAUGCCCAUCUUCGUAUGAAAAUCUGGCCACAUGGUUUUUGCAGUGUCAGUUGAGCCCUCUCCCCCAAAAACAUUCUUUUCAAUACUCAUCCAUCCUCCAGCCAUGGAGUUUCAGCCAUGUGGCUGGUGUGUGAUAGGGUACAAGCGUGACUACCAAUCCUGCGGCGCAGGCGUUGAACCUGGAUGAAUGAGACAAGCCCCUUCUAGCCUUAAAAAAUAUAUGCUAGUUGACCAAGGGGGUUUUCAAAACCUACCUCCCUACUCCUUAGCUUUCCACGCACAGUCAUUUGCACCCCUCCCUUGGAUAGGUUGGUGGCUGGACUGCUUGCUUGGAUAGGUUGGUGCAGGCUGGCUUGAAGUUGGGCAAUUCCCGCCUUCAAGCGAAAACCUAGUCAUCAGCUUUGUACAGUCCCUCCUAAGCCUACUGCGUGGACUUUCAACCCCACUUCAACCACAAAGUGCUCACCAACUUCCUGGGCUCUUGCAGGGCAUGGGCCUGAGUGUCAAUCUUGUACAAAGGGAGCCUGUGCAUCUAAUCCAAAAUAUAUAUGAAUGAAUUCACUAAAACAUACCCCGAAAAUAAACAACAACCUCAUAGUCAAUUUCCAAGCGCACACUUUUCAAAAUUGAAACUUUUCCCAACCCUAAUACACCCCGACACCGCGGAAAUACGUUUUCGUGACAUCACAGUAACUGGUCAGUGGUCAUCAACCUAAAGCUGCGGAGCGUUUAUAUUUGUUCGCGAGAUCAAUGAAGGUAUCGGCUCUUGCGUGGGUUUAAGGUGAGAAAUAUCCCGGAUACUUCAAGCUUUUUGUGAGAUUUGAUCCUCUAAAUGUGCUUUUGAAACUGAAACCAAGUUUGAAUGAGUACUGGUUCAGUGGAGUCAUUUUGUGUGGAAUAAAGUGUAGUUUUUAGGGAACUCGGGCUGAUGAAGUGUCCAUCGUGUUACCUUCCUCGACUUCAGUAGUGUCUAAAGCAGCGAAAGGGUCUCCAGGCAAAGCAGAAGGCUGGUUUUGUAUCAUACUAAGGAAGAAAGUUUGAACACCGGUUGGAUUUAAAGUGUAAUUUGUUCGUAACGAUAGAGCUGUACUUGUCGACACGAAGCGUUUGCAAUCGUGGAGUGUGGCUAAGUUUUACUUCUUUCGACACUGGAACAACAGUAAACUUUUCAGAUAGACAGCUUCUGAAUAUCAGAGAUCAGGUUGGGGAGACACAUGAUGCAUCCAAGACUGUUGCCACCCUCAUCAGACAUGCACAGAGUAUGAAAGGUGUGGCUACAGGACAGUCGCUGGAUAGAUGCGUGAGGUGGAUUAUGACAUGCUUCUGCAUCACAAUCUACUCAAGGAUGUGGUCUGGAGGAAGGCCAUCUGUAUCCCAAAGGUCUGCUCUUUUUUCCCCAUGAUAUCCAGAGAGAAUACUGUCAAGGAUGAUCUUAUACAGUUUUGGUGAAUUUGAUUCUAUGAAUUCUUAAAAAACUGGCUGGCUUACAAGUCUCUGCUGAUCUGAGCAUUUUUCCAUUUUUUUGCGUAGAGUUUGUAGGAGUUCUUUGAAUGUUGAUUCUGUUAGAGAUAAAUACAAUUUAGGUUCAAUCAAAAUUGUAGUAUUAUUGCCAUUACAGUGUAUCUUCUACGUAAAAAAGAACUUCAUAAAGGAUGAGAUUGUUGGUUUACUAUUUAACUUCUCCUGAAUGCAUUUCCAAGUUGAUGCCUCAAGCAUAGGGUCCCCAUCCUGGCCAGCUAACAUGUCACCAAACUGUCCUUCAACAAUCUUCCAGUAAUCAGGAUUUUGCAGCUGUGACACAGAAAGGGAUGAGCUGUUUGUGGCUUUUUUAUCGUAGUAAACAUUCUUUUUCUUCAAAACCACAUGUAGUAUUUUCAUUAUGGUGUAACAUGCUGUAAUUCUAAGAUCUACAUUGUACCAUUGAUUAUUAUACCAAAUAAUGAUUACAGUUAAGACUGUACCUCUGAGGUAAAUUGUUCACCAGUUUCAAAAUCCAUCUCUUCUGUUUCUUGACAUACCUGUUACAAUAGUGUUACAAUGAAGGUGAGAAUAGAGGUACAUGCAAAGAAAAUGGCCCAUUGAAACAGAAAAAUUGUGUAUGUGUAACUGUGGCAGUUCACAUAAUACAUUGAGUACAAUCAUA